rnacentral:rRNA from 1 species
CCUACGGGCGGCAGCAGUGAGGAAUAUUGGUCAAUGGACGAGAGUCUGAACCAGCCAAGUAGCGUGAAGGAUGACUGCCCUAUGGGUUGUAAACUUCCUUUAUAUGGGAAUAAAACGUUCCACGUGUGGGAUUUUGUAUGUACCAUAUGAAUAAGGAUCGGCUAACUCCGUGCCAGCAGCCGCGGUAAUACGGAGGAUCCGAGCGUUAUCCGGAUUUAUUGGGUUUAAAGGGAGCGUAGGUGGAUUGUUAAGUCAGUUGUGAAAGUUUGCGGCUCAACCGUAAAAUUGCAGUUGAAACUGGCAGUCUUGAGUACAGUAGAGGUGGGCGGAAUUCGUGGUGUAGCGGUGAAAUGCUUAGAUAUCACGAAGAACUCCGAUUGCGAAGGCAGUUCACUGGACUGCAACUGACACUGAGGCUCGAAAGUGUGGGUAUCAAACAGGAUUAGAUACCCCUGUAGUC